rnacentral:lncRNA from 10 species
AAAGGAUUGAGUUCUUGAUUGAUUCCCAGCUUGGUCAUUGGUGUAUAGCAGUGCUACUGAUUUGUUUACAUUCAUUUUGUAACCUGAGACUUUACUGAAUUCGUGUAUCAGAUCUAGGAGCCUUUUGGUUCUUCAUCGGGUAAUUGAGCUGAUAUCAGGUGUCUGAAGGAGGCAAGUUUUGAAGAUGUGGGUCAUGAUGGCUGCUGAAGCUUCCACUCCAUAUUUGAAGGUCAGCAGUUCUCAGGAAACCUCUAGCACUUCCAUCCCUGGUGGGAUGUGAUGCCUGUCUCAGUGUAACAUCAGAGAAGGGGUGUACUCUGUGCCCUAGAACUAGGAGCUAACAGAGAAAAACCAAAUGUGAUGUGGAGUCUGCUAGACAGGCUACUGGAGCAAGAGUGAAGCGAUGAAAGUCUCAUCAUUGGGACAUAUUAGGGAGGCAGCAGGUGGCUGAAAUCCUGGUGUGAUGUGGCUGGAUCAUGCAUGAUCUGAGGACUCCUGCACAGGUGACUGCAGGAUGAGUACAGAAUUUUUCUAUAAAUAUACUAAAAUACCAAGUAAGCCAGGAGCAGCCACUAGGCAAACACCAAACCUUGCAUUCCUGGCCAAACCUAUCACAGAGCUCAUCAGAUGCAGUGGAUCCCCAGGUUGCAAGUCAUAUAACCUGAGCAUGCCCAGAUGAACCAAGUAUGCCUGAUUGGUGAACCUGGAACUGGCCAGAACAGAAAAUGUCAACCACAUGUGGAAUCUAAGUAUUCAGAUUGAGAAAUGAGGACCAAAAUGAGAACACUGAGCUCCUCACACAGGUGACUGAACCCGUGGUUUUGGUGUCUGAGAAGAUGCAGCUUCUCCAGUCUCUGCAACUGACGGCAGGAAGAUGGGAGCACUCAGCUUCAGUGUUCAGAAGCAGAUUUAGGCCAAUUGCCAUACCUUACGUUCUGGAGGGAUCCACCCUGACCUGAGCAGAAGGCAUCACACACAUUCCCAAGCAGCAUGGUUCCCGUGAGAAACUGAAAACUAAUUUCUUGAAUCUACAAUGCGA